AAACUACCGGUAGGGGAGUUACUAUGAUCACGAAGGUGGUUUUCUAAGGCAAGGCACAUAGAUGCUAUAGAUGCAGGCUGACAUCUGUGAUGUCCCCAGAUGUGGGAGCUUGAUGGCUUAAUUUUUCAUAGUGAGAGACUGGGUUCCCACUCUCCCC